rnacentral:rRNA from 1 species
GGUGAACGCUGGCGGCGUGCUUAAGACAUGCAAGUCGAACGAUCGCCCUCGGACGGUAGUGGCGCACGGGUGGGUAACGCGGAACUGACCUGCCCCCAAGUUCCGAAUAACCUUCCGAAAGGAGGGCUAAAACGGGAUGUGCUGUCCCCUCCUGUGGGGCCAGUAAGGGCUUGCCCGCUUGGGGAUGGGGUUGCGUUCCAUCAGCUAGGUGGGGGGGUAAAGGCCUACCAUGGCAACGACGGAUAACCGGCCGGGGAGGGUGGCCGGUUACAGGGGCACGGAGACCCGGGUGCCGCUCCUACGGGGAGCAGCAGUUAAGGAGCUUAACCAAUGGACGAAAGUCUGAGGGAGGGGCGGAGGGUGAGGGAUGAGGGAUGUCGGUUUGUAAGGCUCUAAAACAGGGACGAAAAACGCGGAAGCGGGAGGAGGGUACCUGAGUAAUAGCACCGGCUAACUCCGUG